CUCAACAUGCCACACACGGCUAAUUUGCAUCCACAGGAAGACCAGUGACGUCCCUGAGCAGUACAGAGAGGAGGGCGAGAUGGUGGUCCCCAGUUAUGGAUUCUUCAUCCGAGGAGCCGAGUCCACCUUCAGUGGAGUGCUGAGGGAUCGGCAGUGGAAGUACAUCCUGUGCAGAAUGACAGACUUUGACUGCGAAUUUGAGAAUUUAUAGAACUUUCCCCUCACAAUAUAAAAGCACAACUAUAUUUACUCUUACAUUUAAACUUAAACAUAAUACUGACAUUAUGAUUCACAUUUUCAUUCAUGGUUUAUUUUUGUUAAAUGCAUCGCCCACACACUCUGUAUAAUCACUGUUUUUAAGUCUGGCAUGCACACAUCACUGCUCACAUACUAGUUAAAUGUCUAGACAGACAAACAAACAAACAAACAAAGGAAUUAUGUCGCACCAAAACCCGACAAUCCAAUAUAAACUGUGAUCCAGUCCAUUUUUAACCUAGAUUUGAAGCCGUUUUGUAUUUACAAUUGCUGUUUU